rnacentral:rRNA from 1 species
GGAUUGAAAUGGACGCAGUCUGAUCCAGCCAUGCCGCGUGCGGGAAGAAGGCCUUCGGGUUGUAAACCGCUUUUGUCAGGGAAGAAAAGUCUGGGGCUAAUAUCCUCGGAUGAUGACGGUACCUGAAGAAUAAGCACCGGCUAACUACGUGCCAGCAGCCGCGGUAAUACGUANGGUGCAAGCGUUAAUCGGAAUUACUGGGCGUAAAGCGUGCGCAGGCGGUUCUAUAAGACAGAUGUGAAAUCCCCGGGCUCAACCUGGGAACUGCAUUUGUGACUGUAGAGCUGGAGUGCGGCAGAGGGGGAUGGAAUUCCGCGUGUAGCAGUGAAAUGCGUAGAUAUGCGGAGGAACACCGAUGGCGAAGGCAAUCCCCUGGGCCUGCACUGACGCUCAUGCACGAAAGCGUGGGGAGCAAACAGGAUUAGAUACCCUGGUAGUCCACGCCCUAAACGAUGGAUACUCGACAUCAGCGAUACACUGUUGGUGUCUGAGCGAAAGCAUUAAGUAUCCCACCUGGGAAGUACGACCGCAAGGUUGAAACUCAAAAAAAUUGACGGA